GUGACGUCACAGACAGCUGAGUUCAACGUUUGGGCCAGACAAGAUAUAAUGUGGCCCUUUGUUUAAGAUUCAUCACCUUGUCAUAGGGCGGGGGGAUACCGUCGAACACCUUCAGCCUAUCCAGAGCAGCCUGUCCUCUCUUGGUUUUGUGGGGCAGCAUGCCUGUUAAAG